AACGAACGCUGGCGGCAGGCUUAACACAUGCAAGUCGAACGCAUGUCUUCGGACAUGAGUGGCAGACGGGUGAGUAACGCGUGGGAACCUACCCUUUGGUACGGGACAGCUCCGGGAAACUGGGAUUAAUACCGUAUGUGCCCUGAGGGGCAAAGAUUCAUCGCCAAGGGAUGGGCCCGCGUCGGAUUAGCUAGUUGGUGGGGUAAAGGCCUACCAAGGCGACGAUCCGUAGCUGGUCUGAGAGGAUGAUCAGCCACACUGGGACUGAGACACGGCCCAGACUCCUACGGGAGGCAGCAGUGGGGAAUAUUGGACAAUGGGCGCAAGCCUGAUCCAGCCAUGCCGCGUGAGUGAGAAGGCUCUAGGGUUGUAAAGCUCUUUCACCGGGGACGAUAAUGACGGUACCCGGAGAAGAAGCCCCGGCUAACUUCGUGCCAGCAGCC
rnacentral:rRNA from 1 species